UGCGGGGUCGUCUAAUGGUAGGACAGGGGCCUUUGGAGCCUCUAAUCUUGGUUCGAAUCCAAGCCCCGCAG
rnacentral:tRNA from 1 species